CGAAGAGUGAAAGACUUAAAAAACUUACGGCCACUAAAAAAGUGAUAAAUUGUCCAAAGCUGUCGCGAAAAAGUGAAUUCACGGACAAGAUGACCAGCUGUGGUAAAGUGAACCUGAUUCCAUGAGAUGAACCUAGUGAACCGAGGUGCAGUAAUCUCGACGUACCUCUGUUCAGGUUUAGACACAUUGAAGCAUGCCUCAAAAACUAUUUAGCCAAUUUAUCAUAUGAACAGUGGAUGGCAUUAGCCACUGAUGACGUCACCUCGGAUGUCGUUAAUUUGCUGACCAACAUGUGCCAAGCACUCAUAGGGCACAUUAGCACCUUAGUGUUUCAAGGCAUAGAACCACAGGUUUCAUGCUGCCCACAUAUUCAUUAUCCCAGAGACAAAGAAAUCCCCCCUUACAGGUAAACAGUUUGAUUCAUUCUUAAUUUCUUCUUCUUAAAUAAUCUACAUUAGAUGAUUCAUUAGGUAAUCCUUGUGACGGAGAGGGUUUUUGUGAAAAGAUUUUGUUUAUUAUUCAAAUAUGCUUUGCUUGUGAUUGUGUAAACUCUGAAUGACGAUUCACCCUGAUAUGCUUUGCUUGUGAUUGUGUAAACUCUGAAUGACGAUUCACUCUGAUAAACAUGAAGCCUUGCCUAUGCUUAUCAAAUGCCUGUGAAGACAAUUUCCCCCGACAGUUUUUGUUCAGGGUUUAAAGAACAACAGAAUUGCUUUGUAUUGCCUUUUAGAAUAUUUUACAUCUAGUGUGAAGUCAUCCAUAUGAUUUAUUUUCAUGAAUCCUGUAGAUUUUGACACAAUAGUGAUACUGUGGGAAAAUGACUGAAUACCUGACUAAAUUCUCUUUUCAGGAUGAAUAUUGAACCUCUGCUUGAUGGGUGCAGUUACUGCAGGGUGACAGAGGAUGAUAUUCAGGCCAGCCUCAGAAACAUCUUUGAUAAAUGUUUCGGUCGGGCCUUGGGUGUUGCGCAACAGCGGUCUGAUAACUCAGACACACUACUGACUUUAUUUUCAGUGUAGGUUGCAAAGAACGUAAACUCAGCCCUGAGUCAUAUCACAGGGUCCACAUCCUUGCAAUCAGAUGAAUCCACAUCCCUACCAAAUUUUGUUGGGAUGGUUUAUAAUGUAAUGAACAUUUUACAAGUCUGUGCAAAGACCUUAGCCACCCCCUCUGUAGAUAGUCCGAAGACCAGCUACAGCAGUGUUGAAUUGCCAGACUUUGGGGAAGAUAGACAAACUCUACCUUUUGUAGGUAAGGGAAAUUUGGGUAGCAAGGGCAAGAGUCGUACAUUUGAAAUCACUGAUGUCAAAAAUCUUCACAGAGAGUGAUGAAAAAUGUAACUUGAAACCAGAAAGUAGUGAUGCCCCGCAAUGUUCGUUUGGGAUUGUGCCUUUUCAGCUUCCUAAGUCUAAAGGUGAUGAUAAUUUUCUCAUUUUGUGUCUUGUAAAUUUAGUCACUCACAUUUCUGUGAAAACACAUACAUCUGCUGUAAAGUUAAAUUUUCUGCAGAUAGUGGCUGAUAUAAGAGAGAAAAUUGGGGGAGACUUGACUCCUCUAAAAACUGUAAAAAACUUGUACAUCAUAAUGUACAAAGACCUGUGUCGCAAAUUUGGAUCCAAAUAUGUGCUUCAGUUUGUAAUGGAAAAGGGUGAUGUGACUUUUGUGGCAGCUGUUGUGGAGACUUUAAAAGCAGAGCUAAAAAAAAAUCAGGCAGCUCCAAUAACACACGGAACAUUUUCAAAAGGAACAGAAAUGUUGCUCCUGCCUGUGAGAACAAAACAAAAGAAUCUGGCAGUGACAAAAAUGUAAAAAACAGAUUCACAGGAAAACAGGCUGAGCAACCGUAUCAUUAGGGCCUUCUCUUCUUUUUUUAGUAGUUUGAGGAGGGUAUUCUUUUGCUGCAUAAGCAGUGAAUCAGAAACAGAAUAAUUAUCUUCACAAUUAAUUAAUGCAUGCUCAAUCAUCCAGGUAAGUCAGUCCCAAAAUGUGGAUUCUGUUCAUCAGGACGUAGCAUUUUCUCCCACUGAAAACGCUACGUCCUGAUGAGCAGAAUCCACCUUUUCUGUUCAUCUGGACGUAGCGUUUUCAGUGGGAGGCGAUAUUCGAUCCAGUAAUUUACGUCAGUAUCGGACCCAUACGUAAUAUCGGAUCGGUCCAUCUCUGGUAUUUAAAUCAGUGCGUCAGCAUUAAAAGUGCCAAAGUUCAUAGAAAAUCACACCUCACUCCGUCCACUUAGACCAUAUUCUGUAAAAGGUAUCCCUUUGCCUACUUAUUCCUCCAUUUCUUGUGACUUCAACUGUAUUUUGUACUAUCUCCAGUCUCCCUUUCACUUCAUUAUCUCAUGCCAUUUUCCAUAAAUUCUUACUUUCUUUCCAAACUAUACUUUUGCCUUCAGAUUUAUACAAUGGUAUCUGUAUAUCAAUAUUUACUUUUUUGUUAGCUUCCUUAGCUAUUAAAUCCACUUGAAAUUCUACUAUCUUCCAUCCAAUCUAAAGCCAGUAUUAUGGCAUAUAACUCUACCAGAUGUACACUAAAAAACAAUCUAUGUUCUUCUUAAAAUUUUGAUAUUUAAUUCAGGAAUGACAACUGCCACACUAGUUGUUUCAGUUUUUGGAUCUUUAUAAAUCUGCAAAUAGUCACUGUACUUUUUCUCCACGCUAUUAUACAAUUCUUGACAAAUAUCUGUUGUAAUUCAUGUCUUCUUAAUAUCUGAUACUGAUCUAUCUACAUUAAUGUAUUUCCAUGUAGACCUUAAAGGCCACAAUACUGUCUGAUUAAAUUCUUUGUCAUAUACUUUAAAUGCUCUAGCUCUAUUAUCCCCAACCCACCCAAAACUAUUUUUAAAAUCUUUUCUCUUUCCAACAAUUUCUAACACUUUCUUAACACGAUGACUUUUAUUAUGACCUUCCAAAUGUAUCCAGUCAUUUACCUUUAACUGUUGCCUUCUAAAAUGGUGGCACUUCACCUGAUUCUACUUGUAGGACACAUAUUGGUGUGGCUUAAACUGCCCCUACGCAAAGUCUCAGUGGCUGAACUUGGAUAAUAUCCAAGUUUUAGCCGCUGACCAAUAUACCAUACACCUAUAAUCUAGUCUUGAGUGAAUUAAUGUGACAUAAAUACUUUCAAGCGCAUCAAAAUUUGCAACCCCAUGUCAACCCUGCUAAACCCCUUAUAAUAUUAAGUACCUUUUUACUUUUCCCCAUAAUGUGCUCUGUGAUUUUUCCAACUUAAUUUCUUAUCAAAAACUAGACCCAAAAAACCGAAACCAAUCAACCCUUUCUAGCCCUUUCCCAUACUAGUAUAACUGUUUACUUUCUCCUAUUUUUUUUUUUUUUUUUUUUUAUUUGUGGAAAAACAUGACUUUAGUUUUCUCGACUGAAAAUUAAAAAACCCCAUUCUACACCUCACUUUUCCACUUUACCUAUCCCCUCCUGGAGUUUCUUAAUGAGAUGGUCUACAUUUCCCACCCUUACCUAUAAUGCUCCAUCACCAGCAAAAAGUGAUUUACUAUAAUUUACAGACAGAUCUUUAAAAAUACCAUUGAUCAUAACUGAAAAUAAUGUUGGGGUUACUACAUUUCCUUGAGGAGUUCCAUUUUCUAUUUCGCACGGCUCUGAAACAUGUGAUCCUAUUU